AUGGGGAAUCUGCUCUGCGAUCAAUUGUGUCUACAUAGCGGCGUUGCACCUCCGGAGAUGUCGACACUAUGGUUGAAUAGGAGCUGGCCAUCAUCCUUUACAUCAGGUGAUCCGAGGUAUGAGCAUGAAUUUGAUUCUUCUAUUCUUCAUGUGCAUCCAUACUUAGUUCUUCCGCUCAUCAGUUUCCCCAAUUUGUCUGAAACCGGCAUUUGGGAAUAUGAAUGCCUGGAAGGGGAAUUGCUAAACCUAGGUUCACCUAUAUUUUUGGAUUUGGUUUCUCUUAUUGUUACUGUCGUUUGUAGCUAG
rnacentral:rRNA from 1 species